rnacentral:lncRNA from 1 species
GCACUAUAGGGGAAUACGCAAAAAGAGGCAUACUAGAUAGGAACAGAGUAAACCUCACACGGAAUGCUAGGUAAAAUACGUAAAAGGUGUACAAAGUAAACAAGAGAGCGGGAGGUACCAACUCCCGGUGGAAAAACCUGAAAGUAGGCUUUGAUGAAACUAGAUCGCAACAGAGUAAACCUCACACGGAAUGCUAGGUAAAAUACGUAAAAGGUGUACAAAGUAAACAAGAGAGCGGGAGGUACCAACUCCCGGUGGAAAAACCAGAAAGUAGGCUUUGAU